rnacentral:rRNA from 1 species
ACAGAUCGUUCAGAGUUUGAUCCUGGCUCAGGACGAACGCUGGCGGCGUGCCUAACACAUGCAAGUCGAACGAAGUGAAGAUUUCGGUUUUCACUUAGUGGCGGACGGGUGAGUAACGCGUGAGUAACCUGCCUUUCAGAGGGGGAUAGCGUUUGGAAACGAACGGUAAUACCGCAUGAUAUCAUUGAGCUGCAUGGCUCGAUGAUCAAAGGAGCAAUCCGCUGAAAGAUGGACUCGCGUCCGAUUAGCUAGUUGGCGGGAUAACAGCCCACCAAGGCGACGAUCGGUAGCCGAACUGAGAGGUUGAUCGGCCACAUUGGGACUGAGACACGGCCCAG